rnacentral:rRNA from 1 species
AUUGAACGCUGGCGGCAGGCCUAACACAUGCAAGUCGAGCGGAUGAAGGGAGCUUGCUCCUGGAUUCAGCGGCGGACGGGUGAGUAAUGCCUAUGAAUCUGCCUGGUAGUGGGGGAUAACGUCCGGAAACGGGCGCUAAUACCGCAUACGUCCUGAGGGAGAUAGUGGGGGAUCUUCGGACCUCACGCUAUCAGAUGAGCCUAGGUCGGAUUAGCUAGUUGGUGGGGUAAAGGCCUACCAAGGCGACGAUCCGUAACUGGUCUGAGAGGAUGAUCAGUCACACUGGAACUGAGACACGGUCCAGACUCCUACGGGAGGCAGCAGUGGGGAAUAUUGGACAAUGGGCGAAAGCCUGAUCCAGCCAUGCCGCGUGUGUGAAGAAGGUCUUCGGAUUGUAAAGCACUUUAAGUUGGGAGGAAGGGCAGUAAGUUAAUACCUUGCUGUUUUGACGUUACCAACAGAAUAAGCACCGGCUAACUUCGUG